rnacentral:rRNA from 1 species
AAGGGAGAGGAUAAGGUAGAAAUCUACCCUCGGGACGGGGAUAGCUGCGGGAAACUGCUGGUAAUACCCGAUAAUAUCUUUGGAUCAAAGGUGUGAUUCCGCCUGGGGAUGAGUCUACUUCCUAUUAGCUAGUUGGCAGGGUAAUGGCCUACCAAGGCAACGAUGGGUAGCGGGUGUGAGAGCAUGACCCGCCUCACUGGGACUGAGAACUGCCCAGACACCUACGGGUGGCUGCAGUCGAGAAUCUUCGGCAAUGGGCGCAAGCCUGACCGAGCGACGCCGCGUGCGGGAUGAAGGCCCUCGGGUUGUAAACCGCUGUCGUAGGGGAACAAAUGUAAGUGGGUUCUCCCAUUUACUUGAGUGAUCCUAGGAGGAAGGGGAGGCUAAGCUCGUGCCAGCAGCCGCGGUAAGACGAGCUCCCCGAACGUUAUUCGGUAUUACUGGGCUUAAAGAGUUCGUAGGCGGCCCGACAGGUGAGGUGUGAAAUCCCUCGGCUCAACCGAGGAACUGCGCUUCAAACCGUCAGGCUUGAGGGAGAUAGAGGUGAGCGGAACAGAUGGUGGAGCGGUGAAAUGCGUUGA